CCUACGGGUGGCAGCAGUAGGGAAUAUUGCUCAAUGGGGGAAACCCUGAAGCAGCAACGCCGCGUGGAGGAUGAAGGUCUUCGGCUUGUAAACCCCUUUUGUUAGAGAAGAUAAUGACGGUAUCUAACGAAUAAGCACCGGCUAACUCCGUGCCAGCAGCCGCGGUAAUACGGAGGGUGCAAGCGUUAGUCGGAUUCACUGGGCGUAAAGAGGGCGCAGGCGGGGUAGCAAGUCAGGUGUGAAAUCCCAUGGCUUAACCAUAGAACUGCAUUUGAAACUGUGAUUCUAGAGUAUGGGAGGGGUAGGUGGAAUUCUUGGUGUAGAGGUAAAAUCCGUAGAGAUCAGGAGGAAUACUCGUUGCGAAGGCGACCUGCUGGAACGUAACUGACGCUGAUGCGCGAAAGCGUGGGGAGCAAACAGGAUUAGAUACCCUUGUAGUC
rnacentral:rRNA from 1 species